UUUGUCCAACUUCAAGUAAUGAUAAUGCUUUUGUUACCAAAGCUAAAGUCUCUAACGCUAGAACUGUGCUGCCCGACUCACUCAUCGACUUAGAAUCAUCAAUGGAAAUCAUCACUUGAUACGUCCUUUUACUAGGUUUAACACGACGCAUCCAUAUCUUGUCUUUCUUGAACUGAGAAGCAAUAUAUGGGAUGAUUCGUUUCAUAUUCAACCGUUUACCCGUACGAAAGUCUCCUUGCAUCUUAGUGGCCAAGGU